rnacentral:rRNA from 1 species
GACGAGGGAUCCUAGCGUUGUUCGGAAUCAUUGGGCGUAAAGCGGGUGUAGGUGGGCUUCUAAGUCAGAUGUGAAAUCCCAGGGCUCAACCCUGGAAGUGCAUUUGAUACUGGAAGUCUUGAGUGUGGUAGAGGUUACUGGAAUUGUUGGUGUAGUGGUGAAAUACGUAGAUAUCAGGAGGAACAUCGGUGGGGAAGCCGGCGAACUGGCCAAACACUGACGCUCAGACCCGAAAGCGUGGGGAUCAAACAGGAUUAGAUACCCGUGUAGU